UCAAUUCCCACAUUCUUUAUCUGAUUUUCUAAGUCUAGGAUCGUGGUCAAAACUUUCGUUAAAGGUACGGGGUGUUACAGGGGUCCUGUCCCAUCCUUACUAUGUUAUGCAUUCUACAUAGAGGCUCGUAGACAGAUGUGUGCAUCUAGACGUCUAAUGACCUCCUUGGUCUAUAUUUUGUUACAUCCUUUGACGGCCAUGUCGGCUUGUAUAUAUAGGCACAGUUGAUGAUGUGCAUUUAUAUAUAUAUAUAUAUAUAUAUAUAUAUACGCCUUCGAGUAUGUAUCUUGGACAUGUGCUCCUUCCAGUUAUGAUAUUUAUGAGUUAGCUUCAUGGCACUCAGAUAUGACUAUGAGAUGUACGUUUUGAGGUACUCCGUAGGCUAGCUCCGGGUGUCCGUCAUGGCCCUCCGAUUAGCUCGUGACAAGUAUGGGUAUUGUUGUUUCUUAUUUCUAACUUAAUUCGAUAGUGGAUAGACUUUGAGUACUUGGAGGCUCUCUGGAAAGGCAAGGAGAAGAUUUGAUUGUUCUGAAGCUCGACUGCCAGAGACUUGGUGCUGGUGAUGAUGAGAGAGGGGAAAGGCCGAUGCCCAAGGUCUUUGCUGGGAUCGUGAGAGUGGUACAUGGACUUCGCGGGUCCCCCAUGGGUCAUGACUGUUGGGGCGCAGAGAGUACGUGACAAGUUCCACACCCACUCCUCGCGACUGAUUCCCAAGGCCUUGCUACUGAGUUUCUAGGGUGAGCAUGCUUGAUGGAUCUGCAGCCCGUAGACUCUUUCUUUAUACUUGUCUUUUCUUGCAUUCUGAGACAGUAUUCGUAUUUUGAGACUUUGUAUUAUUCCAGACUUGUAGUUGAUUAUUAGUGGCUCUUGUACUGUAUUCAGACCAGUUCCUUGGGGUUCUAUUAGUAUUGUA